GACGAACGCUGGCGGCGUGCCUAAUACAUGCAAGUCGAACGCAGUGGGGACGGGUGAGUAACACGUGGGUAACCUCCCAUCAGAGGGGAUAACACUUGGAAACAGGUGCUAAACCGAUACUGAUGGAUGAACCCGCGGUGCAUUAGCUAGUUGGUGAGGUAACGGCUCACCAAGGCCACGAUGCAUAGCCGACCGGGGAGGGGGAGCGGCCACACGGGGACUUAGACAAUGCCCAGAAUACCACGGGAGGGAGCAGUAGGGAAUUGUCGGCAAUGGACGAAAGGUGGAACGAGCAACGCCGCGGGAGGUAAGAAGGUUUUCGGAUUGUAAAACCCUGUUGUUAGAGAAGCGGUAUCUAACCAGAAAGCCACGGCUAACUACGUGCCAGCAGCCGCGGUAAUUC
rnacentral:rRNA from 1 species